rnacentral:rRNA from 1 species
UUUGUUACUUCAAACCAAUCGGACUUCGGUCUGACAUCAAGUGAUAUUGAACAAUUUAGCUGAUCGCACGGUCUAAGAACCGGCGACAUAUCCUUCAAAUGUCUGCCUUAUCAACUUUCGAUGGUAGAUUAUGCGCCUACCAUGGUUGUAACGGGUAACGGAGAAUCAGGGUUUGAUUCCGGAGAGGGAGCCUGAGAAACGGCUACCACAUCCAAGGAAGGCAGCAGGCACGCAAAUUACCCACUCCCGGCACGGGGAGGUAGUGACGAAAAAUAACAAGCUGGUCUCAAUGAGUUCCAGCAUUGUAAUGGGAACAAUUUAAAUCUUUUAUCGAGGAUCUAUUGGAGGGCAAGUCUGGUGCCAGCAGCCGCGGUAAUUCCAGCUCCAAUAGCGUAUAUUAAAGUUGUUGCGGUUAAAAAGCUCGUAGUUGGAUCUAGGAUUAGGGCUACGGUCGUUCAGCUUGGACGUACCGUAUGCCCGACUCCUUUUCUCUAGUAUUCGAUUGUUGCUCUUAAAUGAGUGACUUUAGUUGCUGGAACUUUUACCUUGAAAAAAUUGAAGUGCUCAAAGCAGGUU